CCUACGGGAUGCAGCAGUGAGGAAUAUUGGUCAAUGGCCGGAAGGCUGAACCAGCCAUGCCGCGUGAAGGUCAGUGCCCUAUGGGCGUUAAACUUCUUUUGUGCGGGAGCAAUAAUGGUCACGUGUGGCCAGACGAGAGUACCGUACGAAUAAGCAUCGGCUAACUCCGUGCCAGCAGCCGCGGUAAUACGGGGGAUGCAAGCGUUAUCCGGAUUUAUUGGGUUUAAAGGGUGCGUAGGCUGUGAGGUAAGUCAGCGGUGAAAUGCCCCCGCUCAACGGGGUGAAGUGCCAUUGAUACUGCCUGGCUGGAAUGCGGAUGCCGUGGGAGGAAUGUGUGGUGUAGCGGUGAAAUGCAUAGAUAUCACACAGAACACCGAUUGCGAAGGCAUCUCACGAAUCCGCGAUUGACGCUGAUGCACGAAAGCGUGGGUAUCAAACAGGAUUAGAUACCCUUGUAGUC
rnacentral:rRNA from 1 species